rnacentral:SRP_RNA from 1 species
CUUCACCAUGCUUGAGGUCCACAAGGGCUUCUGACUGAAAAGUUGGAAGUCCUGGUGGCUGAGGAAGAGGAGAAAGGUUGAGGCUGGGCACAGAGCAAAUGAACCCUCUCGCCUCAAGCAGUGGUAAGACA